UAAUCCUGUUUGCUACCCACGCUUUCGUACCUCAGCGUCAGUAUUGGUCCAGAAAGUUGCCUUCGCCAUUGAUGUUCCUUCUGAUAUCUACGCAUUUCACCGCUACACCAGAAAUUCCACUUUCCUCUACCAUACUCUAGUUGACCAGUUUCAAAUGCAGUUCCCAGGUUAAGCCCGGGGCUUUCACAUCUGACUUAAUAAACCGCCUACGCACGCUUUACGCCCAGUAAUUCCGAUUAACGCUUGCACCCUCCGUAUUACCGCGGCUGCUGGCACGGAGUUAGCCGGUGCUUCUUCUAAAGUUAAUGUCAAGGCUAAUGGCUAUUAACCACUAGCUUUUCUUCACAAUUGAAAGUGCUUUACAACCCUCAGGCCUUCUUCACACACGCGGUAUUGCUGGAUCAGGGUUGCCCCCAUUGUCCAAUAUUCCCCACUGCUGCCUCCCGUAGGAGUUCGGGCCGUGUCUCAGUCCCGAUGUGGCUGAUCAUCCUCUCAGACCAGCUAAAGAUCGUCGCCUUGGUAGGCUUUUACCCUACCAACUAGCUAAUCUUACGCAGGCUCAUCUGAUAGCGUGAGGCUCGAAAGUCCCCCACUUUACUACGAAUAGAUUAUGCGGUAUUAAUCCGAAUUUCUUCGGGCUAUCCCCCACUAUCAGGUAGAUUCCUACGCGUUACUCACCCGUCCGCCACUCGACGCCUACUAGCAAGCUAGUAUCGUUUCCGUUCGACUUGCAUGUGUUAAGCAUACCGCCAGCGUUCAAUCGGAGCCAGGAUCAAACUCU
rnacentral:rRNA from 1 species